rnacentral:lncRNA from 1 species
GCACGCGCGCUACGUCCCUCAGACUGGCUGCCCCCGAGGGUUCGCGUGAGCGGAGCACGGGGCUCGGGGUGCGGGGGGCUGGUGUGAUGGACGCAUUUGUUCUUCGGUCCCUGACGAUUGUUUCUCAUUUGCCCUCCAAGCCCCAAAUCCUGUCAGUCCACGGCCUUGAUGGAGCGGCCCCCGUGGGACGACCCUGUUGAUUGUGCUAGCGGAUGUUGUCUCCAUUCUGGAUCUGGGAAAAACUGUGGAGUGAAAGCCGGACCUGUUAGGGUUGGGACCUGAAAGCGGACUUUUUCGCUCUCAGACGGGCCCCAGACGGGAGCUCUUUCAGGCCAGUGGUUUGUUGUUCAUCAAGAUAUCCAAGUACCCGGCAACAUUCCUGGCAUAUAAUAGGAAGGCAGAUCUGGUGAAUGAAUGAAUGAAUGGCGGUAUCUGGAGCAGAGACAAUGAAUUUCAUGUUUAACAGAGGUGUCUUCAAGGAGAUGAAACAAUUCAGAAUGACCUAGGCAAUGGGGUAAUUCCUAAGUAUUGUAGGUCAAGAUAUUGGUUACCUAUGAGGGGGUGAUGCCUGGAGGAAGACCUAAGGGGAGGUCUUCUGGAUACUGAGUGCAUGGGAACAAGCUAUUCAUUCAUACAGCAUGGACGAAUAUUAAAUGCAUGUUGCUGAGUGAAAGAAGCCAGAAUGAUAAGGCUACAUCCUGGAAAAGUUUAUAUUCUGGAAAAGGCAAAACUUAUAGAGACAGAAACAAAUCAGCCAGUUGUUGCUGGGGUUUGGGAGAGAAGAAUGUUGACUAUGUGAAGAACAAGGGAUCUUGGGGGGCAUCUAUUCCAUAUGCUACUGUAGGGGUGGAUGCAUGAUACUAUCAUUUGUGGAAAACCAUAGAACUUUACAAAACUAACAGUGAACCUUAAUGUCUGCAAAAUUUUACAAAAUCAACUAGGAGGCUGGGGGAUCCCAGGAUGAAAUACAGGCAAUGACAAAAGAGCCUAACUCUAUUACACAUUUAUAACAUAACCGCACCGAAGAGGACUGGUAUUCUAUAACUGUGGAAAUAAUGGAAACUGGAAAACUGAAGACAAAAGGAACUGUACUUAGCACUAUACUCUAGUUGGUAAAGGCGUUUCUCAAGGGGUACCAGUUAACAAUUCUGAGACUGCUGUACAUGUAUGCAGAGACUGAACAAAUAAGUAAAUGGCUGGUACAUGCUCACUCUCAGGGAGGGAGGCCACAGAUAAACAAGAGGAAGAGGCUCUAAUGUCAUGUGUGGUUGUGGAUUAGAACCAGAAACAUAAAUAUGAACUCAUGUUUAGAUUAAUAUAGAUAUUAAUGGAUUGAUAUAGAAAUAAUGAUGAUAUGGGUAUAUAUACAGGUUAGUAUACAGUCAUAUAUUUCUUAUCCCUAUCCACUGAGAGGGCCUAGAAACAACAAUACUCCAGUAGCAACACACACAUCUCGUGCCCAUAUCUUGAUUUCUUUUGCCAUUUCCUAACAAAAGGAGCCAGGACUUCUUGGAGAAAUGGCUGAUUCUAAGACUGGGUCAGAGAGUAUACCAGAUGACGCUGGCACAUCUUCUACUGCUAGAAAGUAAGGAAAUGCUCAAAAAAUAAAACCACGGAGAUAUUUCAAAGGAACACAGAAGCCAAGUGGAACAGCUCCCAGUGGCCAAAGCUGGAAAAAUUGGGGCAAAAAAAAAAAAAAAAGUAUUAGGUUAUAAUCCAAAAUAUAAAAUAAAUAAUCACCAGCCCGUACUAAUGUGCAUAAAUUAUUGAAUAAAUAAGUAAAUGGGUGAAAAGAGAAAACUCUCUCCCAUACAAAGGAAGCCCAAAUAAUUUAUGUAGAUGAUCGCCCUGCAAUGAGGCAGAGGGCAACUCCCUACCCUGUGUUAAGUGUGGAUGGCACUUAGAGACUUGCUUCUGAAGAGCGCAAUACGGAAAGGAGGGGAGAAGUAACUUGGCAAUGAAGAAACCUGACAAACACCAUCUUCUCCAGGCAGCCAAGGUUAACACCAUCAGUGAUAAGUUACGUUGAUAGCCUGUAUUUUUGAUAUGAUGUGUUGAGAAUGUACUUAGUUUCUGUGGUCUUCUUCCCAAACACCUGACACCAGGCUCACCAGGAGAAAAUGAAUCCAAAUUAAGGGACAUUCUACAGAAUACCUGACCAACACUCCCUCCUAAAAACUGUCAAGGUCAUCAAGGAAUGUCUAGGAAGAAGGAAAGUCUGAGAAGUUGUCUCAGCCCAGAGGAGCCUUAAGAAGCCAUGACAGGUAGGGCGCGGUGGCUCACGCCUGUAAUCCCAGCACUUUGGGAGGUCGAGGUGGGCGGAUCAC